rnacentral:piRNA from 1 species
UAGAAGGGCCUAAGGCUAAGAAUGGCUGC